GGACCAAUAACUCAGUUGGUAGAGUGCCAUGUUCACAGCGUGGAGGUCGCUGGUUCGAGUCCAGCUUGGUCCACCA
rnacentral:tRNA from 1 species